rnacentral:rRNA from 1 species
UAUGGGGGGGGCAAGCGUUGUUCGGAAUUACUGGGCGUAAAGGGCUCGUAGGCGGCCAACUAAGUCGGAUGUGAAAUCCCCAGGCUUAACCUGGGAACUGCAUCCGAUACUGGAUGGCUUGAAUCCGGGAGAGGGAUGCGGAAUUCCAGGUGUAGCGGUGAAAUGCGUAGAUAUCUGGAGGAACACCGGUGGCGAAGGCGGCAUCCUGGACCGGCAUUGACGCUGAGGAGCGAAAGCCAGGGGAGCAAACGGGG